AGAGUUGAGUCUGGACUCAGGAUGAACGCUAGCGACAGGCUUAACACGAUGGCAAGGUCGAGGGGCGAGUCACGGGAGGUAGCAAUACGAACUGGUGGCGACCGGCGCACGGGUGAGUAACGCGUAUGGCAACCGUACCUAUCGAGAAGGGGAAUAACCCGGCGAAAGUCGGACUAAUACCGCAUAAAACAGGGGCACCGCAUGGUGAUAUUUGUUAAAGAAAUUCGCUGAUAGAUGGGCAUGCGUUCCAUUAGGUAGUUGGUGAGGUAACGGCUCACCAAGCCGACGAUGGAUAGGGGAACUGAGAGGUUGGUCCCCCACACUGGUACUGAGACACGGACCAGACUCCUACGGGAGGCAGCAGUGAGGAAUAUUGGUCAAUGGGCGGGAGCCUGAACCAGCCAGGUCGCGUGAAGGAAAAGAAGGAUCUAUGGUUCGUAAACUUCUCUUGCAGGGGAAUAAAGUGCAGGACGUGUCCUGUUUUGUAUGUACCCUGAGAAUAAGGAUCGGCUAACUCCGUGCCAGCAGCCGC
rnacentral:rRNA from 1 species